AGCUUUGCGGGGUGGGCAGUCAGCCUUUUUGUAGGAGCAGCUGUGCAAACCCAAGCAAAACUG
rnacentral:pre_miRNA from 1 species